AAAACACAGUAGAGACCAUGUGGAACUAGACUGAGGCAGAUGCAAAGAACAGAAAGGCACUUUCCCUCUGGGACCUCUGUGCCCACUCAGAGAUAUACCAGUUGUUACCAUUGCGAGGAUGACUUCAUACAGCAUGUCUUUCCAUGUGAGUUUGAGGAAGCCUUCAUGAGAUCUUUAUGGUUUUAAAGCAGAAGUAUAUUAACAAGCACGGGUUAUUGGCUGCACCUCCACUGGCCCCAUGGCUGUCACUACUCAAGGAGAAGAGAAAGAGCAGAACAAAGCUGGAGGAAGCUGAUGCCCACAGGCCGAUGGAUGGAUCGAUGGAUCGUGACACAGGAGGAACUGAAAUAGAAAUCUCCAAAGCUAGGAAUUUCAUAAAUUCAUUCUUUUUAAUAGCUGAGUAGUACUCCAUUGUGUAGCUGUACCACAUUUUCUGUACCCAUUCCUCUGUUGAGGGGCAUCUGGG
rnacentral:lncRNA from 1 species